UACGUAGGGGGCAAGCGUUGUCCGGAAUCACUGGGCGUAAAGCGCAUGUAGGCGGGAUAUUAAGUCAGGUGUGAAAACUAUGGGCUCAACCUGUAGAUUGCAUCUGAAACUGAUAUUCUUGAGUAUUGGAGAGGAAAGUGGAAUUCCUAGUGUAGCGGUGAAAUGCGUAGAUAUUAGGAGGAACACCAGUGGCGAAGGCGACUUUCUGGCCAAAAACUGACGCUGAGAUGCGAAAGCGUGGGGAGCAAAC
rnacentral:rRNA from 2 species